CAAUAUUCCAUUCGAAGUUGUCCAGAUAUGACCAUGCGAAGUAACCUUUGAGAUUAACAUGGUAAUCCUUGAGGGACCCUAAAGCAUUCCACAUAUGUUUUCUAUAAUAAUCUAUCCUGAAUUCAUCUUUAAGUGCUGCAGUUAUGUUCUCUUCACCAGCUUUGUCAAUUUCAGUGUUCAAAUUGUCAACUCCAUUCUCAGUAAUAUAAAUUACU
rnacentral:misc_RNA from 1 species